AUAUCAUUUAAAUCUUUUGAAAGAAUAACUUUCACAAUUCCACUUUCAAAUCACUUCACCAUUCACCAUAGACACAAGGAAACAAACACACACUGGGAGAUCCUAUAACCGACAUAAACCAUGUGAGCUACAUGGAGUCCAACGUACAACCCACGUUGGGGAGAGACGUCCUAUCCUUGACAUCGGAGUAGGACUAUCGAUAUCAAAUCCAC
rnacentral:lncRNA from 1 species